AAUGCAAUGGAAGUGUGAGAAAAUGAGCGGAGGGUAGAAAUGGGAUGGAAAGGUGGGAGAAAAUGGGGAAGGUUGGGAAGAGGAGAGAAAAAGGAGGGGAAAAUGGGGGGGAAUUCGGGGAGAAAAGGAAGAAUAGGGAGAGAGGAAUGGGAGCAGUGGGAUAAAGGUGGGGGAAAUGGGAUCAGAAACGUGGAUGGAAUAAAGCUGAGGAAAAUGAGGGAAAGAUGGAAUAAAUGACAGAAAAUGGGGCAAAAUGGAACAAAGGUGAGAAGAAAUCGAGGGGAGAAAUGGAAUUAUGAAAGAGAACGGAAUAAAGAUGGGAAAAAACGGAGUAAAAACGGAAUAAAAAAUGAGGAAAAAGGGAAUGUGAGAGAAAAAUGGAGGAAAAAUGGAGUAAAAAUGAGGAGAAUGGAAUCAAGGUGAGAAAAAACGAGGGGAAAAUGGAAUCGAGAGGAGAAAAAAAUGGCAUUAAAACCUGGAAUAAAGAUGAGAAAAAAAAAAAAGAGGGAAAAGACGGAAAAGAAUAAAAGAAAAAGGGGCGAAAAAGCAGCGAAAGACUGCAAAAUGAGAGCAAAGUGAGGGGCAAAAAGGGGCCGACGGCGCAUUGCGUGCUCACUGCAGAGGCAAACAACGGUGCCGCAGCCGCACGUGGGUCGGUGCACGCAGCACCAAUGGCCAAAAGGUUGGGGGUUUGUGUCGCUGCCGCGUGGUUUUGGGCCGAAAAAGGCCGAUUUUGGGGCGCGGAGGUGAGUAUGGGGCGAGCGGCGGUUGCUUAUUUGUGCCUGUUAACAAACUCUGGUUUUGUGUGCUGCAGGUGUGAAAGGCAGCGACACUUUGCAAUGCUCCGCCUUUAUCCGCAGCUUUUGGGUUCAAAAAAAAGGCAGAAAGGGGGAAAAAAAUAAAAAAAAAAAAUAAAAGGAAAAAACAAAUGGAGAAAAAAAAAAAAAAAAAAGGAGAAAAUAGACCAAAUAAUAAUAAUAAGGAAAAAGAGGGGAAAAAAAGCAAUGAAGAGAGAGAGGAGAAAGGGAGGGGGGAGCGUCCUGUGGGGGCUCUGCUGCAAGCAGCCGGCGAGGCCAAAAAGGGCCCCAAAACAGCCAGAAAAGGCCCCAGAAAGACCAGAAAAGGCCCCUGAAAGACCAAAAAAGACUCCAAAAGGGCCAAAA
rnacentral:lncRNA from 1 species